rnacentral:rRNA from 1 species
GAUGAACGCUGGCGGCGUGCCUAAUACAUGCAAGUCGAGCGAACAGAUGAGGAGCUUGCUCCUCUGACGUUAGCGGCGGACGGGUGAGUAACACGUGGAUAACCUACCUAUAAGACUGGGAUAACUUCGGGAAACCGGAGCUAAUACCGGAUAAUAUAUUGAACCGCAUGGUUCAAUAGUGAAAGACGGUUUUGCUGUCACUUAUAGAUGGAUCCGCGCCGCAUUAGCUAGUUGGUAAGGUAACGGCUUACCAAGGCAACGAUGCGUAGCCGACCUGAGAGGGUGAUCGGCCACACUGGAACUGAGACACGGUCCAGACUCCUACGGGAGGCAGCAGUAGGGAAUCUUCCGCAAUGGGCGAAAGCUUGACGGAGCAACGCCGCGUGAGUGAUGAAGGUCUUCGGAUCGUAAAACUCUGUUAUUAGGGAAGAACAAAUGUGUAAGUAACCAUGCACGUCUUGACGGUACCUAAUCAGAAAGCCACGGCUAACUACGUG